ensembl:lncRNA
CUGGGUGAAGAACCCCUUGAGAGCAGCCCUGCGGACAAGGACUUGGGGUCCUGGUAGACAAGAAACUGGACAUGAGCCAGCAGUGUGAGCUUGCAGCCCCAAAGGCCAACUGUGUUCUGGGCUGCGUUAAAAGAGGAAUGGCCAGCAGGGAGAGGGAGGUGAUUGUCCCCCUCUACUCAGCUCUUGUGAGGCCCCAUCUGGAGAACUGCUUCCAGGCCUGGGGCCCCCAGUACAGGCAGGACGUGGAGCUCUUAGAGCGGGUCCAGAGGAGGGCCACUAAGAUGAUCAGAGGGCUGGAGCACCUCUCCUAUGAGGAAAGGUUGAGGGAACUGGGCUUGUUCAGCUUGGAGAAGAGAAGGCUCCAGGAAGACCUCAUUGUGGCCUUCCAGUACUUGAAGGGAGCAUAUAAACAGGAGGGGGUAUGUCUGUUUAUGAGGGUGGAAAGUGAUAGGACAAGGGGGAAUGGUCUUAAACUGAGACAAGGGAGGUUUAGGCUAGAUAUUAGGAGGAAGUUUUUCACCCAGAGGGUGGUGACACACUGGAACAGGUUGCCCCAGGAGACUGUGGAUGCCCCAUCCCUGGAAGCAUUCAAGGCCAGGCUGGAUGUGUCUCUGGGCAGCCUGGUCUAGUGGUUGGCAACCCUGCACAUAGCAGGGGGGUAGAAACUCGAUGAUCAUUGUAACCCUUUUCAACCCAAGCCAUUAUGAGUCACAAAGGACUUUGCCCUGUUGCCCUCAUCCUCUUUCCUACCUUAUGCUUUUCUCUGUGAAGUGUUCUGCUGCAUUUGACAGGGCUGUCAGCAUGGUGAGAGAGGGCCAGGCUCAGACCUCUUCUUAGUCAAAGGAAAUAUGCAGCUUUCUCAUCUCAAAAUCAGAUAAAUCGAAAGUGCCAAUGCCCCACCAGCCAUAGAGGCAGUUGUCUGUAAUUGCAUCAGAGGGAGGAAUCAUAUCCUAUGUGAUCAAAGGGCAGCGUCAAUUGAUUGCCAUCCAGUAAACAGCAGAAAAAAUCCAGGCAGUUUAUUUCUCCCAGACAAGCAUCGCAGAGCUCAUGCUCAGUCAGGAUCUGGAAGUAACCACCAGCAUCCUAAAUCCAUUUGACGACAGUGUGUUUCCAGGAGCUGACAAAGCAACAUCUUGGGAGCACAAUGUGUGAUGGCUUA